rnacentral:rRNA from 1 species
UACGAAGGGGGCAAGCGUUGUUCGGAAUGACUGGGCGUAAAGGGCGCGUAGGCGGUUCGUUGCGUCAGAUGUGAAAUCCCUGGGCUCAACCCAGGAACUGCGUCCGAUACUGGAAGGCUUGAAUCCGGGAGAGGGAUGCGGAAUUCCAGGUGUAGCGGUGAAAUGCGUAGAUAUCUGGAGGAACACCGGUGGCGAAGGCGGCAUCCUGGACCGGCAUUGACGCUGAGGCGCGAAAGCCAGGGGAGCAAACGGG